rnacentral:rRNA from 1 species
UAGUGAAUCUUCCGCAAUGGGCGAAAGCCUGACGGAGCAACGCCGCGUGAGUGAUGAAGGUCUUCGGAUCGUAAAACUCUGUUAUUAGGGAAGAACAAAUGUGUAAGUAACUAUGCACGUCUUGACGGUACCUAAUCAGAAAGCCACGGCUAACUACGUGCCAGCAGCCGCGGUAAUACGUAGGUGGCAAGCGUUAUCCGGAAUUAUUGGGCGUAAAGCGCGCGUAGUCGGUUUUUUAAGUCUGAUGUGAAAGCCCACGGCUCAACCGUGGAGGGUCAUUUGAAACUGGAAAACUUGAGUGCAGAAGAGGAAAGUGGAAUUCCAUGUGUAGCGGUGAAAUACGCAGCGAUAUGGAGGAACACCAGUGGCGAAGGCGACUUUCUGGUCUGUAACUGACGCUGAUGUGCGAAAGCGGGGGGAUCAAACAGG